GCCAGAUAUCUCACUGUAGUUCUCAUCUGGUUUCCCACUGAAGCUAAGCAGGGUUGAGCCUGGCCGGUACGUGGAUGGGAGACCUCCUGGGGAAAACUCAGGUAGCUGCCU
rnacentral:rRNA from 1 species